AUGAGUUUACAACAGGAUGAAACUUAUGGCUUCCAAACCAAAAACUGUUGAUUUGGUUCUAGUUCUUGGGUUCUAGAGGUGUUUCAGUCAUUCUAGCUUUAAGCAUGUUGAGAAAUUGGACAGCUGGAAUUAGUAGUAUUUCUAGCUACUGUUGUGUCAAAUUCUAAAAUGAGAAUCAACGAAGUUUCAGUAGUUCUGUUAAUAGAUUUCUGCCACUUCAUGUGAGAGCAAAUUGUGAUGAUUAGUGAGGAUAUUGGAGUUGCUACUUGAUGUGAAUCAGAUGUCAACUAAUGGAAGAUGAUCAGGGAGAUGAUAUGAGCUUUAUCACGCGGAUAUUCAUCUUUUUUGGUGCAUAGAUAAGACAUUUACUUGUGUCAAGUGAGAGGUGGUGACAUGUUCUUUUGCUUGAUGUUGAGUUGAAAUCUGGGUGCUUUUCCUUCACAAAAAUGAGUUGCUGUUUCUGUACUACAUACGAGAAAACAGUAAGUUCCAUUGUCAUUAUGUGUCUUGCAUGCAGAUCAUUUAGAGUGAGUUUGGCAAUAAACUAACCAGUUUAUGGAAUAACACCCUUUUUAUCUGUUUGAAACAAAACAGUUUGAAACUGUUGUUAGUUUUGAAUUUUUAUGAUUAGAUCAUGUCCAAUUUGCUCCAAUUCUAGUAUAAUGCUUUCUUCAACUACAAAUCAAAUAGUUUUUGCUUGGAAUGAUAAGGGGAGAGAUUAUGGUCUCAACUAGUUGUGCUCCCAUCAAGACGUAUGCUGCUACUAAUGCUACCUUUUCUUUCCUAUUUAUUUUCACUAGCAGGUCUAUGUAUUGCGUCUAAUUGGUGGAUGCAAAAUAUGGGAAUUAGAUGGAGACAAGUUGGACAUGUGCUGAAUAAAAUAUAAAUCCAGAGGAUUAGAUUGUCUAUAUGAAUCAAUUUGUUUCUAAUGGCAGUGUAACAAUAUUAAAAAAAAAAAAAAAAAAAAAAAAUUCAUUUU